GAUGAACGCUAGCUACAGGCUUAACACAUGCAAGUCGAGGGGCAUCAUGGCGGUCGCUUGCGACCGCUGAUGGCGACCGGCGCACGGGUGCGUAACGCGUAUCGAACCUGCCGCAUACCCGGGGAUAGCCUUGCGAAAGCAAGAUUAAUACCCGAUGUUCUCACUGUUCCGCAUGUUACGGUGAGCAAAGAAUUUCGGUAUGCGAUGGCGAUGCGUCCCAUUAGCUAGUUGGCGGGGUAACGGCCCACCUAACCGACGAUGCGUAGGGGUUCUGAGAGGAAGGUCCCCCACACUGGUACUGAGACACGGACCAG
rnacentral:rRNA from 1 species